rnacentral:tRNA from 1 species
GCCUGGGUAGCUCAGUAGGUUAAGCAUCUGACUUCAGCUCAGGUCAUGAUCCCAGGGUCCUGGGAUCAAGUCCCACAUCAGGCU